rnacentral:rRNA from 1 species
UACGGGGGGAGCAAGCGUUGCUCGGAUUUACUGGGCGUAAAGGGCGCGUAGGCGGCCACCGCAAGUCAGUUGUGAAAUCUCUGGGCUUAACCCAGAAAGGUCAACUGAUACUGCGGGGCUAGAGUGCAGAAGGGGCAACUGGAAUUCUCGGUGUAGCGGUGAAAUGCGUAGAUAUCGAGAGGAACACCUGCGGCGAAGGCGGGUUGCUGGGCUGACACUGACGCUGAUGCGCGAAAGCUAGGGGAGCGAACGGG